rnacentral:tRNA from 2 species
GCCGCCCUAGCUCAGCCUGGCAGAGCACCGGACUGUUAAUCCGUUGGUCGACAGUUCAAAUCUGUCGGGCGGCGCCA